rnacentral:lncRNA from 1 species
CCAGGUCCGACCCGGCCACGGUCGGCUCGCCGUUCGGCCCCGGCGGCCGCAGCGUCAGCCCGCGCACCCGUAUCUUGGGCCCGGCGCCGGCGAGGCCGUCCACGUCCACGCCCACGCCCACGCCCAGCAGAUGCUGCCUCAUGGCACCGUCAUCUGUACGUGCUCCGUUUGGCACGACAUACAUCGAUCGAUCGAUGGAUCAACCAUAUGUAUACAAGAACAAGAAGGCUUCAAGGAAUCAAAUCAAUCAUGCAAUCCAUCUCAGAGUUUGCUUUGGUGAAUUACCUGAAGAUGAGCCCAUCGGAACUGGAAUCGGAACUGGAUCGUGCGUGCAGGUGCAGUGGAGAAGAUCUCACAGCGCAAGGAAGAGGAGAGUGCGCGCCCGGUGGGAAUCACGUUCCUUUCUACUAAAGAAAAAUAAUUGGAGGCUCCUCUGCAAGUGCAAGCGAGGUGGGCAGCGGCGGCUUUCGACGCCUGCAUUGCAUCACUAGAGUUCAUAGAAAACUAGCCCACGAUGCCACGGUAGGUAAGAGCAUCUACACCCCUCAUUCUCGUCCGCGGACACGCAGAGAAAGAAGAAAAAA